rnacentral:tRNA from 1 species
GCGCGGGUGGUGAAAUUUGGUAGACACGCCAGCUUGAGGGGCUGGUCCUAGCAAUAGGGUGGAGGUUCGAGUCCUCUCUCGCGCACCA